rnacentral:rRNA from 1 species
UACGGGGGGAGCAAGCGUUGUUCGGAUUUACUGGCGUAAAGGGCGCGUAGGCGGUCGUGACAAGUCACUUGUGAAAUCUCCGGGCUUAACUCGGAACGGUCAAGUGAUACUGUCGGACUAGAGUACAGAAGGGGCAACUGGAAUUCUCGGUGUAGCGGUAGAAAUGCGUAGAUAUCAGGAGGAACACCGGUGGCGAAGGCGGGUCUCUGGGCAGUAACUGACGCUGAGGCACGAAAGCGUGGGGAGCAAACAGG